rnacentral:tRNA from 1 species
GAAUAAGAAGCAAUCAUUGCAAUCAGUUUCGACCUGAAAAUAUGGUACAUUAUAUACCCUUAUUCU